AGCGGCCUUCUCCAGCUUCAUCCUCCUGGAAUAGAUUCAACAUGGGGCUCUACUUAAAAUAAGACAGGGACUAGGCACCCUCCCUGCAAGGCACUCCCCUGAGGGCCAGGCCAUGCCCAUCUGGUUCUCCCUGCUUUCCAGACUACACCACUCUAGGUUUCUGGAGGCUUUUUGGCUGGCUGGGGAGUUCUGCCUUAUAGAGGGGCGCCACUUGCCUGCUGAAACAGAUGCAAACCAGGGGAUAGGAAUGUGGUUUAGAGUUGGAGACCUGGGCUCAAGUCCCAGCUGUAUCAGUUGCUGGUUGUAUGACCACAGGCCAGUAAUUUCCUUCUGUGAGUCUCAGGAAGUUUUAUUUCAUUUUUUCCUCUACCUGGGGGAUAAGAUUCACCCCACUACUCCACAAGUUUCUUUUGAUCAUCAGAGGUUAUACUUGGGAACAUAUUCAAGGUUGUACUGGAUUUUAGUUAGAAAUUCAGAGGACAAUUUGGGGAGAUCCCCUGCUUUGCCUCUGUUGCUUCCUUGCCCUCUUCCCCAUCCCAUUCCCCAGUUAAUGGCUCCCAGGAAUGGGUGAUAAGGAGGUUGGCUGUGGCUCAGGAUGGAGCAGGAGCUCUGGGCCUCACUUACAUUCUAUAAGCCAGGGAAGCCACAGCUUCUUCCUGCCUCCAUGUUCCCACAUCCCUGGCAGUUGUAACUUCAGACAGACCUCUGGAUUUUUACUAACUUUUUGUACAAGGCUCUUCAUCAUUUGGCUCCAACUUACCUUUCCAGGCUUGCCUUCUCCCCGACCAGAUACUUUGCACCCCUCCAGCUUUGUUGUACAUUUUCUCUUAUGUGUUCUCACGUCCCUGCCUUAUGCUUACUGCCAAAAUGCCUGCUGCCCUGAUCCUUCUGGUUCAUCCCUUUCCCAGGUCAUGGUGGUCUUGCCCUGGUCUGAAUCAUGGAGGCAUUAUUGUCUGCUCUCCUCAUGCCCAGGUUUGUUAUCUUUGCAUGUGAGCUGAGAAGUGGAGUUGAGAAUCUAAUGUUUUGGUUUCAACUGAACUGUUGAUUCAGUGUUGGCAUGGAGAAGUUUUAUCAGCUUAUAUUGCCCACGUAGAUAAUGCUUUUAGGAAAGGAAUACUAUCUUCUGCUUGUUCCUGUGUAGGACAGGGCCAACAGAGAACAAGAAACUCAGUAUAAGAUCUGCUGGUGGCUCUCCCUCUCUACUGUAGGAUAGGUCACCUUCUGGUUUGUUUGUUUUGUUUUGUUUGUAGAGAUGGGGUGUCUCGCUAUGCUGCCCAGUCUGGUCUUGAACUCCUGGCCUCAAGAGAACCUCCUCCCUUGGCUUUCCAAAGUUCUGGGAUUACAGAUGGGGUUGUAUUUUUAGCACCAGAAGCGUUUGAGACAUAUGCUAAAUGCUCAAGAGAUCCUUGGAAAAUGAACGAAUCUUGUCCAGCACCUUCAUUGCAAAAGUGGGGAGGAAGAGGAUGUGCUACAUAUAUGCAAUGCCUGGCAAAUAGACUUUGGAAAGCUCUGACAUAUUCUUGGGAAACUGUGUGCAAGCUUAGAGCUGUGUGUAUUCCUGGAAAGACCUGAGAUGACCCUAAGCUCUCAUCUUUGGCUACCUUGAUAGUCUGAGCAAGCAGGAAGUGAAGCCUGAGCCUAAGUCAAAGUUGUAAACUGCCUGGCAGAAUGUUGAAGGUAGGUCUUAACAUACACACAGAGUCCCUUGGGAAAGGCUAGGAGACUUAUAGCUUUCAGGCAUUUAAGAAACCUUUGUUUGAUGUUUAGCUGACUACCAACCUAACUGGCCAGAGAUUUCAGUGGUCCCACAAAACAAAUAAUACAGACUUUACAGAAUUAGUUCAGAAACAGUGUAAACAAAGCCAAUGGGAAGUUCAAACUGGGUGGAGUCCAUUGCAGCUCUGCAAAGCCACUGUAGCCAGAUGGCCUUUCUAGAUUUCUAUUCUUUCAGGGCAUCUCUGAAAGAAAGGCUGCAGCCCCAGUCAGGGGCUUAUAGAUAAAACUCCCAUCUCCCUGGGACAGAGCCCCUGGGGAAAGGGGCAGCUGUGGGCACAGCUUCAGCAGACUUAAAUGCUCCUGCCUGCCAGCUCUGAAGAGAGCAGUGGAUUUCCCAACAUAGCACUUGAUCUCUGCUAAGGGACCAACUGCCUCCUCAAGUGGGUCCAUGACCCCUGUACCUCUUGACUGGGAGACACCUCCCAGCAGGGGUUGAAAGACACCUCAUAGAGGAGAGCUCUGGCUGGCAUCUGGCGAGUGCACCUCUGGGACGAAGCUUUCAGAGGAAGAAACAGGCAGCAAUCUUUGCUGUUCUGCAGCCUCUGCUGGUGAUACCCAGGCAAACAGGGUCUGAAGUGGGCCAGCAAACUCCAGCAGACCUGCAGCAGAGGGGCCUGUUAGAAGGAAAACUAACAAACAGAAAUAAAUAGCAUCAACAUCAACAAAAAGGACAUCCCCACAGAAACCCCAUCCGAAGGUCACCAGCAUCCAAGACUAAAGGUAGAUAAAUCCACGAAGAUGAAGAAAAACCAGCACAAAAAGGCUGAAAAUUCCAAAAACCAGAAUGCUGCUUCUCCUUCAAAGGAUCACAGCUUCUUGCCAGCAAGGGAACAA